GACGAACGCUGGCGGCGUGCUUAACACAUGCAAGUCGAACGAAGUGGCGAACGGGUGAGUAACGCGUAAUCAACCUGCCCUUCAGAGGGGGACAACAGUUGGAACCGACUGCUAAUACCGCAUACUGAAGGAGGGGAUUGUGUCGGAUUAGCUAGUUGGGGGGGUAACGGCCCACCAAGGCGAUGAUCGGUAGGCGGGCUGAGAGGCUCAACGGCAACAUGGGGACGGGGACAAGGCCCAGGUGCGUACGGGGGGCGGAAGUGGGGGAUAUGGGACAAUGCGCGAAAGCCUGAUGCAGCGGCGCCGAGUGGGGGAUGAGGGCUUUCGGGUUGUAGACCUCGUUAGCUAUCGAACGGGUAGGUGGAGAAGAAGCGCCGGCUAACUACGUGCCAGCCGCCGCGGUAAUAC
rnacentral:rRNA from 1 species